rnacentral:tRNA from 1 species
GCUGCGAUGGCCGAGUGGUUAAGCCGUUGGACUCGAAAUCCAAUGCGAUAUUCCCGCGCAGGUUCGAAUCCUGUUCGCAGCC